GGGCGGGUGCUAUACUGCAAGUCGAGCGAACAGACAAGGAGCUUGCUCCUUUGACGUUAGCGGCGGACGGGUGAGUAACACGUGGGUAACCUACCUAUAAGACUGGGAUAACUUCGGGAAACCGGAGCUAAUACCGGAUAAUAUUUCGAACCGCAUGGUUCGAUAGUGAAAGAUGGUUUUGCUAUCACUUAUAGAUGGACCCGCGCCGUAUAGCUAGUUGGUAAGGUAACGGCUUACCAAGGCGACGAUACGUAGCCGACCUGAGAGGGUGAUCGGCCACACUGGAACUGAGACACGGUCCAGACUCCUACGGGAGGCAGCAGUAGGGAAUCUUCCGCAAUGGGCGAAAGCCUGACGGAGCAACGCCGCGUGAGUGAUGAAGGUCUUCGGAUCGUAAAACUCUGUUAUUAGGGAAGAACAUACGUGUAAGUAACUAUGCACGUCUUGACGGUACCUAAUCAGAAAGCCACGGCUAACUACGUGCCAGCAGCCGCGGUAAUACGUAGGUGGCAAGCGUUAUCCGGAAUUAUUGGGCGUAAAGCGCGCGUAGGCGGUUUUUUAAGUCUGAUGUGAAAGCCCACGGCUCAACCGUGGAGGGUCAUUGGAAACUGGAAAACUUGAGUGCAGAAGAGGAAAGUGGAAUUCCAUGUGUAGCGGUGAAAUGCGCAGAGAUAUGGAGGAACACCAGUGGCGAAGGCGACUUUCUGGUCUGUAACUGACGCUGAUGUGCGAAAGCGUGGGGAUCAAACAGGAUUAGAUACCCUGGUAGUCCACGCCGUAAACGAUGAGUGCUAAGUGUUAGGGGGUUUCCGCCCCUUAGUGCUGCAGCUAACGCAUUAAGCACUCCGCCUGGGGAGUACGACCGCAAGGUUGAAACUCAAAGGAAUUGACGGGGACCCGCACAAGCGGUGGAGCAUGUGGUUUAAUUCGAAGCAACGCGAAGAACCUUACCAAAUCUUGACAUCCUUUGACAACUCUAAAAAUAAAACCUUCCCCUUCGGGGACAAAUGGACGGGGGGGGCUGGUUGUCCCCACCUCGGGCCGGGAAAGUUGGGUUAAUCCCCCAACAAGGGAACCCUUAGCUAAUUGCCUCUUAAAUUGGGCACCAAUUUAUGGCGGGAAAACCGACGAAAAGAGGGGGGAGAACCAACUACUUGCCCUCGUUUUUGUGCCCCGCGGUCCUGGGGAAAAAAGGGGGACCACCAGGCGGGCGCCUCCUU
rnacentral:rRNA from 1 species